rnacentral:rRNA from 1 species
CAGUAGCCGCGGGAAUACGUAGGGUGCAAGCGUUAAUCGGAAUUACUGGGCGUAAAGCGUGCGCAGGCGGUUUGUUAAGACAGAUGUGAAAUCCCCGGGCUUAACCUGGGAACUGCAUUUGUGACUGGCAAGCUAGAGUCUGGCAGAGGGGGGUGGAAUUCCGCGUGUAGCAGUGAGAUGCGUAGAUAUGCGGAGGAACACCGAUGGCGAAGGCAGCCCCCUGGGCCAACACUGACGCUCAUGCACGAAAGCGUGGGGAGCAAACAGGAUUAGAUACCCCGGUAGUCCUGUCUCUUAUACC